rnacentral:rRNA from 1 species
GACAGAGGGUGCAAACGUUGCUCGGAAUCACUGGGCGUAAAGGGCGCGUAGGCGGCCUGGUAAGUAGGGGGUGAAAUCCUGCGGCUUAACCGCAGGGCUGCCUUCUAAACUGUCAGGCUCGAGCACAGUAGAGGCAGGUGGAAUUCCCGGUGUAGCGGUGAAAUGCGCAGAUAUCGGGAAGAACACCCGUGGCGAAGGCGGCCAUCUGGGACAACACUGACGCUGAAGCACGAAAGCGUGGGGAGCAAACAGG